UACGGAGGGUGCGAGCGUUAUCCGGAUUUACUGGGUUUAAAGGGUGUGUAGGCGGAUAAUUAAGUCAGUGGUGAAAUCUUCAGGCUCAACCUGGAAACUGCCAUUGAUACUAUUUAUCUUGAAUACUGUGGAGGUGAGCGGAAUGUGUCAUGUAGCGGUGAAAUGCAUAGAGAUGACACAGAACACCGAUUGCGAAGGCAGCUCACUACGCAGUGAUUGACGCUGAGGCACGGAAAAGCGAUGGGGGAUCAAACAGG
rnacentral:rRNA from 1 species